UACGGAGGGUGCGAGCGUUGUUCGGAAUCACUGGGCGUAAAGGGCGUGUAGGCGGUCCGCUAAGUCUGAUGUGAAAGCCCGGGGCUCACCCCCGGAAGUGCAUUGGAAACUGGCGGACUCGAGUCCCGGAGAGGAGAGUGGAAUUCCUGGUGUAGCGGUGAAAUGCGUAGAUAUCAGGAAGAACACCCGUGGCGAAGGCGGCUCUCUGGAACGCAACUGACGCUGAGACGCGAAAGCGUGGGGAGCAAACAGG
rnacentral:rRNA from 1 species